rnacentral:rRNA from 1 species
UACGGAGGGUGCGAGCGUUGUCCGGAUUUAUUGGGUUUAAAGGGUGCGUAGGUGGCCCGUUAAGUCCGGGGUGAAAGCCCACUGCUCAACAGUGGAACUGCCCUGGAUACUGACGGGCUUGAGUCCAGACGAGGUUGGCGGAAUGGAUGGUGUAGCGGUGAAAUGCAUAGAUACCAUCCAGAACCCCGAUUGCGUAGGCAGCUGACUAGGCUGGUACUGACACUGAGGCACGAAAGCGUGGGGAGCGAACAGG